rnacentral:rRNA from 1 species
GGGGAAUAUUGCACAAUGGAGGAAACUCUGAUGCAGCGAUGCCGCGUGAGGGAAGAAGGUUUUCGGAUUGUAAACCUCUGUGUACAGGGACGAUAAUGACGGUACCUGUUCAGAAAGCUCCGGCUAACUACGUGCCAGCAGCCGCGGUAAUACGUAGGGAGCGAGCGUUGUCCGGAAUUACUGGGUGUAAAGGGAGCGUAGACGGCUUUGCAAGUCUGAUGUGAAAGGCCGGGGCUCAACCCCGGGACUGCAUUGGAAACUGUCAAUCUAGAGUACCGGAGGGGUAAGUGGAAUUCCUAGUGUAGCGGUGAAAUGCGUAGAUAUUAGGAGGAACACCAGUGGCGAAGGCGGCUUACUGGACGGUAACUGACGUUGAGGCUCGAAAGCGUGGGGAGCAAACAGGAUUAGAUACCCUGGUAGUCCACGCUGUAAACGAUGAUUACUAGGUGUGGGGGGUCUGACCCCUUCCGUGCCGGAGUUAACACAAUAAGUAAUCCACCUGGGGAGUACGACCGCAAGGUUGAAACUCAAAGGAAUUGACGGGGGCCCGCACAAGCAGUGGAGUAUGUGGUUUAAUUCGAAGCAACGCGAAGAACCUUACCAGGGCUUGACAUAUACAGGAAUAUAUAAGAGAUUGUAUAGCUCUUCGGAGUCUGUAUACAGGUGGUGCAUGGUUGUCGUCAGCUCGUGUCGUGAGAUGUUAGGUUAAGUCCUGCAACGAGCGCAACCCCUAUUCUUAGUUGCCAGCAUGUAAAGAUGGGAACUCUAGGAAGACUGCCGGUGAUAAAUCGGAGGAAGGUGGGGACGACGUCAAAUCAUCAUGCCCUUUAUGUCCUGGGCUACACACGUACUACAAUGGCUAUAACAAAGGGAAGCGAAGCAGCGAUGUGGAGCAAAACCCAAAAAAGUAGUCUCAGUUCGGAUUGAAGGCUGAAAUUCGCCUUUAUGAAGCCGGAAUUGCUAGUAAUGGCAGGUCAGCAUACUGCCGUGAAUACGUUCCCG